rnacentral:rRNA from 1 species
UCUGACACAGGUGCUGCAUGGCUGUCGUCAGCUCGUGCGUGAGAUGUUGGGUUAAGUCCCGUAACGAGCGCAACCCUUGUCCUUAGUUACCAGCACGUUAUGGUGGGCACUCUAAGGAGACUGCCGGUGACAAACCGGAGGAAGGUGGGGAUGACGUCAAGUCAUCAUGGGCCCUUACGGCCUGGGCUACACACGUGCUACAAUGGUCGGUACAAAGGGUUGCCAAGCCGCGAGGUGGAGCUAAUCCCAUAAAACCGAUCGUAGUCCGGAUCGCAGUCUGCAACUCGACUGCGUGAAGUCGGAAUCGCUAGUAAUCGUGAAUCAGAAUGUCACGGUGAAUACGUUCCCGGGCCUU